CCUACGGGUGGCAGCAGUGGGGAAUAUUGCACAAUGGGGGAAACCCUGAUGCAGCGACGCCGCGUGAGUGAAGAAGUAUUUCGGUAUGUAAAGCUCUAUCAGCAGGGAAGAAAAUGACGGUACCUGAAUAAGAAGCCCCGGCUAACGACGUGCCAGCAGCCGCGGUAAUACGUAGGGGGCAAGCGUUAUCCGGAUUUACUGGGUGUAAAGGGGGCGUAGACGGCAGCACAAGUCUGGAGUGAAAUGCCGGGGCUUAACCCCGGAACUGCGUGGGAAACUGUGCAGCUAGAGUGCAGGAGAGGUCAGUGGAAUUCCUCGUGUAGCGGUGAAAUGCGUAGAUAUUAGGCGGAACACCAGUGGCGAAGGCGGCUUACUGGACUGUAACUGACGUUGAGGCUCGAACGCGUGGGGAGCAAACAGGAUUAGAUACCCCUGUAGUC
rnacentral:rRNA from 1 species